AUCAUAUUUUAGCGAAAUUCUGCGAGAAAGAAAGAGAUGUACGGUCUCAGUCUAUCCAAUAGACUGUCAGUUUUAGGAAAUAUGGUUGGAUAUACAAUAUCGUUCUGUAACAAUUCAUUAAAAAAAGGAUAUGUUAUGAAAAUAAUUCCGAAAGACACAGAACGCCGAAUGAAUUGGUUAAAGAGUAUAAAUG